GAAAUGCGAUAAGUAAUGUGAAUUGCAGAAUUCCGUGAAUCAUUAAAUCUUUGAACGCACAUUGCGCCUGUUGGUAUUCCGACAGGCAUGUCUGUUUGAGAAUCAGUUUAACCAUCACUGUGUUUGGGCGACCAAGCAUGGUGGAUUUGGGAUGCGUGGGUGUAUGCCCACCAGCCUGCAAGACAUUUGUGCGCUGACUUGAGUGCAAGAACCAGCCCAAAGGCAUGACCAAGAACGAAAGUUCAAGAACGCAAGUUCGCGAUUGCUGACUAGGACUGGGGACAGCCCAACGAUCCGCCAAAACAACCACGAAGCGCAACCCGCGCUUUAAGACUCGAUCUCAAAUCAGACAAGACUACCCGCUGAACUUAA
rnacentral:misc_RNA from 1 species